rnacentral:rRNA from 1 species
CAGCCGCCGCGGUAAUACGGAGGGGGCUAGCGUUGUUCGGAAUUACUGGGCGUAAAGCGCACGUAGGCGGCUUGGUAAGUUAGAGGUGAAAGCCCGGAGCUCAACUCCGGAAUUGCCUUUAAGACUGCCGAGCUAGUAGGUGAGAGAGGUAAGUGGAAUUCCGAGUGUAGAGGUGAAAUUCGUAGAUAUUCGGAAGAACACCAGUGGCGAAGGCGGCUUACUGGCCCAUUCUAGACGCUGAGGUGCGAAAGCGUGGGGAGCAAACAGGAUUAGAUACCCCUGUAGUCCCUGUCUCUUAUAC